AUCAGGUAUAAGCAUGUUGCGAAGUCCUGGUUUGCUUGGUGAUUUUGAAAGGGAGUGUGUUCCCCAGGGAGUGUUAUCCUUCCAUGGUUGGUUGUGUACGAUCGUCCGGGUCUUCAGUUGUUCGGAGGGGGUGGUUCCGUGCGUCCUGUGUCCUCGUGGUGGGAUGUUCAUUGGGUGGGGUCUCUGUUUUCUGUCGGGUGGGGAUCUCUGGCGUCUCUCUGCACAUGGCUUGUGCUGGGUUGGUUGGUUGUUUCAGUACUCUGGCUUCUUGCCGGUGUGUCUCUGUAUCGCCCUCGUGGGCCUUGGUGGAUGGGGCA
rnacentral:lncRNA from 1 species